UACCAGCUCUCCGAGUGGUGGGGACGCUUAUUGGGCCUAAAGCAUUCGUAGCCGGCUGGGCAAGUCCUCCGUUAAAUCCAACGAUUCAAUCGUUGGCCUGCAGGGGAUACUGUUUGGCUAGGAGGCGGUAGAGGCCGACGGUAUUUCCGGGGUAGGGGUGAAAUCCUAUAAUCCCGGGAGGACCAUCAGUGGCGAAGGCUGUCGGCUGGAACGCGCUCGACGGUGAGGGAUGAAAGCUGGGGGAGCGAACCGGAUUAGAUACCCGGGUAGUCCCAGCUGUAAACUUUGCAGGCUGGGUGUUGGUGCGGCUACGUGCCGCUCCGGUGCCGUAGGGAAACCGUUAAGCCUGCCGCCUGGGAAGUACGGUCGCAAGGCUGAAACUUAAGGAAUUGGCGGGGGAGCACCACGAAGGGGUGAAGCUUGCGGUUU
rnacentral:rRNA from 1 species